rnacentral:lncRNA from 1 species
AUAUUCUUCAGUUUUUAUAAUUUUCUGACACUGUGCAUUUUCUGCUAAAAUAUCAGCCCCGUUUCUCAUAGAAAAUUCUAAAUCUUCUGUUUUCAUUCCGAUUUCAGCACAAGUCAUUUCUUACUUAUAUUUUACUUAUCUAAAUCCAAUAAAAAUAGCAUCUCACACUAUUUUUAUUUAUUUUUACUUUUAUAUCAAAAUCCGGUACGUUACAGAAAUACAAUUUGAAAACAUGUCGUGGUAUCGUAAUAACAAUUGGACAAGUAAUAUGACAUGUAGAGCUUAAAUUAUGAGGAGUUUUUGAUGAAAUGCCGAUAUAGCAAGAUAACUCUUAUAUGUGUCCUAAUUAUGUAGCAAGUGAGAUUAUGUGAUUAUAGUUAAU